rnacentral:rRNA from 1 species
GACAGAGGGGGCAAGCGUUGCUCGGAAUCACUGGGCGUAAAGGGCGCGUAGGCGGGAUGGCAAGUCGGUCGUGAAAUCCUUCGGCUCAACCGAAGGACGUCGGCCGAUACUGCCGUUCUUGAGGGAUGCAGAGGAGAUUGGAAUUCCCGGUGUAGCGGUGGAAUGCGCAGAUAUCAGGAGGAACACCUAUAGCGAAGGCAGCUUGCUGGGACGUUACUGACGCUAAGGCGCGAAAGCGUGGGGAGCGAACAGG